rnacentral:rRNA from 1 species
UGCUGGGGAAAUAGAGGCGAACGGGUGAGUAAUACGUAAGCACCUGCCCACGAAACCGGGAUAAUCCCUGGAAACGGGGACUAAGACCGGAUAGAUCGCAUGAUUAAAGGAGAGAGACACUGGUGGAUGGGCUUACGGUGCAUUAGCUGGAUGGUGAGGUAACGGCCCACCAUGGCGAUGAUGCAUAGCCGGGCUGAGAGGCUGAACGGCCACAUUGGGACUGAGACACGGCCCAGACUCUACGGGAGGCAGCAGUAGGGAAUUUUCGGCAAUGGGGGCAACCCUGACCGAGCAACGCCGCGUGAGUGAUGAAGGUCUUCGGAUUGUAAAGCUCUGUUGUAAGGGAGAACGGCAUCAGAGAAUAGGUGAUGACGGUACCUUACCAGAAAGCUACGGCUAACUACGUGCCAGCAGCCGCGGUAAUACGUAGGUAGCGAGCGUUAUCCGGAAUUAUUGGGCGUAAAGGGUGCGUAGGCGGCCUGUUAAGUUUAUGGUGAAAGCGUGGGGCUCAACCCCAUAAAGCCAUAGAUACUGGCAGGCUAGAGUACUGGAGAGGGUAGUGGAAUUCCAUGUGUAGCGGUAAAAUGCGUAGAUAUAUGGAGGAACACCGGUGGCGAAGGCGGCUACCUAGACAGAGACUGACGCUGAGGCACGAAAGC